AGUGCUCGUUUCCUGUGGGUCAGCUAGCACCGGCGCCUCUGCCCCUCCCCUGCUCCGGACCCAGGCUCCCCGCCUUACCCCCCGCCCCCCCAGGGCGCCCCGAGGUCUCACCACGUCUCAGCCGCCCUUUGAUACAUGGGGGUUGUGCGGGGCGGGGGGCAGGGGACCCGCCCUCUCUCCAAACACUAGCAGGGCCGGGGCGCCUGGGCAGGCACGUGUCCGGGCACAACCCGCUGCCCACGCUGCCCCCCCACUCCCGCCCCCCCCGCUCUGGCCAGGACACGUCGCUCUCUUACUUGGGUGGGGUGGGAGGAGGGGAGAGAAAGCUGGAAAUGGAAAGCAGCGCCCCCCACCCCUCUGAAUGGCCAACCUCGGCCAGCGGUGCGCACUAGGUUUCUACCACACAGCGACCCCCACUCUGCUCAGGGCAGGUGCGCCGGCGCCGGCGGCAAGACCGCUGGUAGGUCGAGUUCUUAUCACCCACCCUCGCACUGGAGUUGUGAGAGCAAAAGCUGACUUUGAAAAGGUGGCGGUGGGCCUGAGGCUUGAGAGACCGGAAUGUGAUUGCGGAGCGGGAGGGGCAGAGGGGUCGUCCUGCUGAGCCGCACUACCGCUGGAGAGACGACGCGGCUCUGGAAGCGCAAGAAACCGAAUAGUCCAGCCGGAAAAUGGGAGGGCUGGUGAGAUGGCUCAGUGGGUAAGAGCACCCGACUGCUCUUCCGAAGGUCCAGAGUUCAAAUCCCAGCAACCACAUGGUGGCUCACAAACCAUCCGUAGCGAGAUCUGACUCCCUCUUCUGGAGUGUCUGAAGACAGCUACAAUGUACUUCCAUAUAAUAAAUAAAUAAAUCUUUAAAAAAAAAAAAAAGAAAAA
rnacentral:lncRNA from 1 species